AUUGAACGCUGGCGGCAGGCCUAACACAUGCAAGUCGAGCGGAUGAAGGGAGCUUGCUCUCUGAUUUAGCGGCGGACGGGUGAGUAAUGCCUAGGAAUCUGCCUGGUAGCGGGGGAUAACGUCCCGAAAGGAACGCUAAUACCGCAUACGUCCUACGGGAGAAAGCGGGGGAUCUUCGGACCUCGCGCUAUCAGAUGAGCCUAGGUCGGAUUAGCUAGUUGGUGAGGUAAAGGCUCACCAAGGCGACGAUCCGUAACUGGUCUGAGAGGAUGAUCAGUCACACUGGAACUGAGACACGGUCCAGACUCCUACGGGAGGCAGCAGUGGGGAAUAUUGGACAAUGGGCGAAAGCCUGAUCCAGCCAUGCCGCGUGUGUGAGGAAGGUCUUCGGAUUGUAAAGCACUUUAAGUUGGGAGGAAGGGUUGUAGAUUAAUACUCUGCAAUUUUGACGUUACCGACAGAAUAAGCACCGGCUAACUUCGUGCCAGCCGCCGCAGUAAUAC
rnacentral:rRNA from 1 species